AUCGAACGCUGGCGGCAUGCCUUACACAUGCAAAUCGAACGGUAACGGGCCUUCGGGUGCCGACGAGUGGCGAACGGGUGAGUAAUACAUCGGAACGUGCCCGAUCGUGGGGGAUAACGAGGCGAAAGCUUUGCUAAUACCGCAUACGAUCUACGGAUGAAAGCAGGGGACCGCAAGGCCUUGCGCGGACGGAGCGGCCGAUGGCAGAUUAGGUAGUUGGUGGGAUAAAAGCUUACCAAGCCGACGAUCUGUAGCUGGUCUGAGAGGAUGAUCAGCCACACUGGGACUGAGACACGGCCCAGACUCCUACGGGAGGCAGCAGUGGGGAAUUUUGGACAAUGGGCGCAAGCCUGAUCCAGCCAUGCCGCGUGCAGGAUGAAGGCCUUCGGGUUGUAAACUGAUUUUGUACGGAACGAAAAGCCUUCUUUUAAUACAGGAGGGUCAUGACGGUACCGUAAGAAUAAGCACCGGCUAACUACGUG
rnacentral:rRNA from 1 species